rnacentral:tRNA from 1 species
GCCAUAAUAGUUUAGUGGUUAGAAUACGUCGUUGUGGCCCUCAGUCCUCUGUAAACCGACGUGACCCAUGUUCGAUUCAUGGUUAUGGCAC